GACGAACGCUGGCGGCGUGCUUAACACAUGCAAGUCGAACGGAAAGGCCCUGCUUUUGUGUUUUGCUCGAGUGGCGAACGGGUGAGUAACACGUGAGUAACCUGCCCGUGACUUUGUGAUAACUUCAGGAAACUGGGGCUAAUACCGGAUAGGAGCUCCUGCUGCAUGGGGGGGGUUGGAAAGUUUCGGCGGUUGGGGAUGUACUCGCGGCUUAUCAGCUUGUUGGUGGGGUAGUGGCUUACCAAGGCUUUGACGGGUAGCCGGCCUGAGAGGGUGACCGGCCAAAUUGGGACUGAGAUACGGACCAGACUCCUACGGGAGGCAGCAGUGGGGAAUAUUGCACAAUGGGCGGAAGCCUGAUGCAGCAACGCCGCGUGCGGGAUGACGGCCUUCGGGUUGUAAACCGCUUUCGCCUGUGACGAAGCGUGAGUGACGGUAAUGGGUAAAGAAGCACCGGCUAACUACGUG
rnacentral:rRNA from 1 species